rnacentral:rRNA from 1 species
CCCUUAGAUGUUCUGGGCCGCACGCGCGCUACACUGAUGCAUUCAACGAGUUCCUACCUUGGCCGAGAGGCCUGGGCAAUCUUUUGAACUUGUAUCGUGAUAGGGAUAGAUUAUUGCAAUUAUUAAUCUUGAACGAGGAAUUCCUAGUAAACGCAGAUCAUCAAUCUGCAUUGAUUACGUCCCUGCCCUUUGUACACACCGUCCGUCGCACCUACCGAUUGAAUGGUCCGGUGAAGCCUCGGGAUUGUGGUUAGUUUCCUUCAUUGGAAGUUAGCCGCGAGAACUUGUCUAAACCUUAUCAUUUAGAGGAAGGUGAAGUCGUAACA